GCAAUGGGCGAAAGCCUGACGGAGCAAUACCGCGUGAGGGAAGACGGCCUAUGGGUUGUAAACCUCUUUUUUCAGGGAGGAAUCAUAUGACGUUGUACCNUGAAGAAUAANCCAUUCGGCUACCUCCGCUGCCAGNCNAGCCGCGGNUAA
rnacentral:rRNA from 1 species